UCAGGAUAGCUCAGUUGGUAGAGCAGAGGACUGAAAAUC
rnacentral:tRNA from 3 species